GCUGGGCAUGAUGGUGCAUGCUUGUAGUCUCAGCUACUCUAGGACUUCUGGGCUGUAGUGUGCUAUGCCAAUUGGGGUCCACACUAUGUUCUGCAUUAAUAUGUUGACCUCCCAAGAACGGGAAACCACCAGGUUGCCUAAGGAGGAGUGAAUCAACCCAGGACAGAAACAAAGCAAGUCAAAACUUCCCUGCUGAUCAGUUGUGGUAUCAAGCCUGUGAAUAGCCACUGCAAUCCAGCCCAGGCAACAU
rnacentral:SRP_RNA from 1 species